UACGGAGGGUGCGAGCGUUAUCCGGAAUCACUGGGUUUAAAGGGUGCGUAGGCGGCUUGUUAAGUCAGGGGUGAAAGUUUUCGGCCCAACCGGAAAAUUGCCUUUGAUACUGGCGAGCUUGAGUGCGUGAGGGGUAACCGGAACGAGUGGUGUAGCGGUGAAAUGCGUAGAUAUCACUCGGAAGGCCAAAGGCGAAGGCAGGUUACUGGUACGCAACUGACGCUGAGGCACGAAAGCGUGGGGAGCAAACAGG
rnacentral:rRNA from 1 species